rnacentral:rRNA from 1 species
CGCGUAGGCGGCCUUGUCAGUCAGACGUGAAAUCCCCAGGCUUAACCUGGGAACUGCGUCUGAUACUACAAGGCUUGAGUGCGGGAGAGGGAUGUGGAAUUCCAGGUGUAGCGGUGAAAUGCGUAGAUAUCUGGAGGAACACCGGUGGCGAAGGCGGCAUCCUGGACCGACACUGACGCUGAGGCGCGAAAGCUAGGGAGCAAACG